rnacentral:rRNA from 1 species
UACGUAGGGUGCAAGCGUUAAUCGGAAUUACUGGGCGUAAAGCGUGCGCAGGCGGCGUGACAAGUCACUUGUGAAAUCUCCGGCUUAACUCGGAACGGUCAAGUGAUACUGUCGUGCUAGAGUACAGAAGGGGCAACUGGAAUUCUCGGUGUAGCGGUGAAAAUGCGUAGAUAUCGAGAGGAACACCUGCGGCGAAGGCGGGUUGCUGGGCUGAUACUGACGCUGGAGGCGCGAAAGCUAGGGGAGCGAACGGG